ensembl:lncRNA
GGCGGACCUGAGAGACCGGCAGUGAAUCAACAAGCAGGUGAAUAUUGACACUCUGAGACACGUUAUGUAAAACCGUGUAAGCUCGCCCAGAGAGGCUGGUAGCAUUUUAAAAUAAAGAUAGAGCUCGUCUGGGACUGGUAGCUCCCCCGUAGUGGGUAAAGUCAGCGCGCGCAUAAAGGUAUUAUAUGUUUUAUUUUUGUGUUGAUGGAAUAAGUUGAUUUUACAGCACAAUAAGGAGGCUGAACUAUUCCAUUAAUUUGUUUACUGUUGGACACCCAAGUACUGGUGAAGAGAGAAAAAGGUCGUGUUUUAUCACAUAAAGAUGACACCGCUUUCAAGAAUAGCUUGAAAGUAGAAGGCCGUGUCAACUACCUCUCUCGAUUCUCGUGCCAGAGAAGGUGCCGCAGUUGUGUAGUUGUAAAGGAUUAAAAUGGGUAACGAAGCUUCAAAACUCACUGCUGACGAGCAGUGGUUAGAGAAAAAAUGUCCAGGCACCGGACAAAUUAGUGCAUAUAGAUAGAGAAAUCCAAAGAAAACCUAAAUGUCCCACGUGGGAGGGAAAAUGUAUAACUAAAUUAUAAGAAACCCUCCAAGCAGAAAUAAAUACUGAAAAGGAUGCUAAAAAGAAAACAAAGCGUACACAAGAGGUGUAAUAUUUUAAAGCAUGGAAAGAGGAAUGAAGUGGAAUAAACAAAAGGUUAAAUUAAAUUAGAGCCUAUCUAAUGUAUUCAAAUUGAUAAUAGAAGGAUAACAACCUGUAAACUGGUAUUAACAAUGAAACAUAGUUGGCAGGGCGACCGUUCCUAGAAUGGAUAGAAUGCAUGAAACCAGAUAAUUCACACAAAUAAAUAGAGAGAUGCAUAAGGUAUAUUACGGCUGUGUCAUUGUUCAGCCAAGGAAAGUGUGUGAAAAGGUAAAUGUCUCCAGCUUGGGAAGGGGUGAAACUGCAGAUCACCCCCAUCCCUCGAUGGAUGCAAAAUAAAAUAUAAAUAAAAUAUUGUAAUAUACUAUUGCUGUUAUAUAAAAAGAUAAUAACAUUAAUAAUGAAAUAAUAUUAAUAUGAAGAGGCACCUCAGUCAGUUGUGAUGUGAGGUGGAUAAUUGUUAAAAGUAGUCUGCAUCAAGCUUAAGGUUUGCUCAAACUCAGUACAAUGACAUAUGAGAUGAAGAAAAUAAAGAAAAUACCUAAUCUAAUUAGGUGCAUAGAGACACUUGACCCGCUUGUAAACCUGUCAUCCUAGAUGAGAUUUUGUUAAGAUGAAGAGCAAACCUAUACUACCAAGCUAAUGAGCAAGAUACACACCUUUUAUAUUGUAUUAAUUUUUUUUUGUUUCUCAGAGCAGAAGCUGCAUGAUAUUAAAAGCUUUUGUUUGUUUGUUUUGUUGGUUUGGAAAACAAAUCUGUGAUCAUACUUGUGGAUCACAGUGACACGAAAUGAUUAGGCACAUGAUUUACUGAUGCCUAGUUUUAGAGCUGUGAGCUACGAGCUGUAAGCAAUGCAAAGUUUUUCCCAACUUAGAAGUUUGACAUAUGUAACAUGUAUGAGAUAUAUGAAUUAUUUUAAAACGAAAUAGAAAUUGUCCAAAAUGCCUUAAGAAAAUAUGUAGUGCUGUAUCUACAGAGGAAAAAAAAAAGAAGCAUUCAGUAACUUGGAAAUAGCCUUUCUACUUACAUGUAGAUGGAAGUGCAGGUUACAUGAAAGCUGUUUUAACACAGGCAUUUGGAGAAAAACAACGUCUGCUUGCAUUUUACUUCUGCAAAUUAGACUCUGUUGUGUGCAGGCCGGUGUAGCUGCAGCAGAGGCAGUAAAAAGAGCUGACUGUGUCAAGGACGCAGACAGACAGAGAGACACACAGACAGUUAGUAUGUUUUUUCAGCAGUACAUCAUUUUGCAAAAAUUUGGCAGAAUAGAGGUAUGAUUACUUCUACUGGAAAUCCAGUGCAACAUGGAAAUCUUUUAAAGGCACUGUUGGAAGUGAUAACAUUGCCAAAACAGUUAGCAUUAUGUAAAUGUGCUGCACACCAGAAAGACAACUCAGAGGUCACUAAAGGCAAUAACUUUGCAGAUCAAGCCGUAAAAGCAGCAGCACAACAAAUAAUAGACACAUUAAUGUCUGAAUCCUCAAUGCAAAUACCACUUGAUGUGCUUAAAAACGAAUAAAAAGCCGCACCAACUGCAGAACAACAGUCACCCCAGCCAUAAACUCUUCAGACUACUUCCAUCAGGAAGGAGGUUCUGCAGCAUCCGGUCCCGUACCAGCAGACUGAGAGACAGCUUUUUCCACCAGGCCAUCAGACUGCUGAACACGUCAUAGACACCUCACCCUCACUACUGGAACUUCAACAUUAUGCACUCCAUACUGUACAUUAAUG